rnacentral:rRNA from 1 species
AUGGAUCGAGCUGAGGUUCUCAAUGUCAGGUUUCACUCUGGAGGGGAGUUCAUUCGUAUUGGGCCAUCUCUUGUUUAUGUUGGGGGAGAUACUGCAUUGUCAGAGAUACAGAGGGAUAUGUUGUCACUGCCAGAGCUCAGAGGAUUUUUAGGAGACCAUUUGACAGUUAAAGAGAGCGUGAAGCUGUAUUUUCUUAUGCCAGGGAGAGAGAUGGUUAAUGGACUAGUGUUUCUAUACACUGAUGAAGGUUGCCUGCAGAUGUCAGAGUACAUAACAGAUGGAGGGGUUGCUGAUGUUUUUGUGGAGUACAAUGGUGAGCAAGAUGAACCAGAGGGAGAAGAUAGUGGCUCUGAUUUUGAAGAAGAUGAGCUGAAUGACAUGGUAAACAAUGCUAGUGAGGAAGAACCAGAUGCAGUUAUCAUUGCAGAAGAAGAAGAUCAUGUUCAGACACAAUUGUUCAGCAAGUUAAUGCAGUAG